rnacentral:rRNA from 1 species
GAGUUUGAUCCUGGCUCAGAACGAACGCUGGCGGCGUGCUUAACACAUGCAAGUCGAACGGGAUGAGGGGCUUGCUCCUCAUUUAGUGGCGCACGGGUGAGUAACGCGUAGAUAAUCUGCCUGAUGAUCUGGGAUAACACUUCGAAAGGGGUGCUAAUACCGGAUAAGCCUACGGACUCUUCGGGGUCUGCAGGAAAAGGUGGCCUCUAUUUAUAAGCUACCGUAUCAGGAUGAGUCCGCGUACCAUUAGCUAGUUGGUGGGGUAAUGGCCCACCAAGGCUACGAUGGUUAGCUGGUCUGARAGGAUGAUCAGCCACACUGGAACUGAGACACGGUCCAGACUCCUACGGGAGGCAGCAGUGGGGAAUUUUGCGCAAUGGGCGAAAGCCUGACGCAGCAACGCCGCGUGAGUGAUGAAGGCCUUCGGGUCGUAAAGCUCUGUCAGUGGGGAAGAACCGCCGGGUGGUUAAUACCUGCCUGGUCUGACGGUACCCACAAAGGAAGCACCGGCUAACUCCGUGCCAGCAGCCGCGGUAAUAC